CUUGCUCUAGGGAUAGUCAGCUGCCGUGUCUUGAAGAGAGGCCUCCAACUGACAGCUAUGAGGAACUGAGACCUAUUGCCAACAUGCACAUGAGUGAGGCUGGACACAAGUCCUAGAGGACUGUAGCUCAGGACAACACCCUGACUCUAACUCACAAGUCCCACCCAACUAAGCUGCUUCUGAAUUCCUGGCCCACAGAAACUAUGAGCUAAUAACUGUUUGUUGUUUUUAGACAUCACGUUUUUGAUCAUUCAUUAUGCAGCAGUAGAUAACAAGUAUAGCAGGGAAUGAAUUCAUUUAUCAUUUAUAUAUUCUUCAUUGUUUAUUAAAGCCCCCCCCGCAAAAAUAGAUGGAACUUCAGUGGACUACAAGAUAACAAAGUGUGAACUGAAACUUCAGAGGAAAGAUGACUGAGGGAAAGAAUCUGGCAUGACAAAGGAUGCUACUCAAAACUGGCAAGAAAACAAGAACGUGCAAAUAGCAAAAUAAAACUAAGCUACCUGAAAAUAAUUGAAACCCAAUCGCUCUUAAAACAGGACCUGCUCUCUCUUCCUCUCUGAGUUCCUAUGUGAUGCCCAUAACUUGACAGGACAAUUCCACGGUUUGGCUAGAAUCUGACGGAAACGUGUAGCAAAAUGUUUAGUGGCUUCCACUUGCCACGGUUCAGCAGUUUUCAUUUUUAAAUGGAUAUUCAUCUUGUUAAAAUAUUUACUUUAUUGUGAAACUACAGGCAGAUUUAUCUCACAUAGAAGAAGCUAUAGGUAUAACAGGCAUAUGGAGUUCAUUCACCAAGGAAGAAUCCAGAAGUUUCUCUUCAAAUCCUUCAGCCCUGUUGCCUGGAACCAACCUGUUGAUGAAUAAAACCUAUUCUCUCUGAAUGAAAAAGUUGUUCAAAACACCUGGAGUGGUCCAUACCAAUUACACAUGACAUGAGUCCUCUGCUCAAAGCUUCCUCUCAUCACUCCACAUGUGAUUGCUUCGUGUCAAUGAACUUUAGUGUACUUCAAUUUCCUAGCAAUCAAUAUUGAUACAAAACAGUCUAACAAUGUAAUGACUGUUUGUUAUGAAAGUCAAUCAAAGGAGCAGAGAUGUAGAAUGUACUCCCUGAGUGACAAGUUAUUCUGACAGGAGGAUAUUUCCAUGUUUAACAAUCCAUCUCUGCCUCAUUCAGGAAGUUGAUCUCCCUGCCGAAGGUGUUGCUGAAAUAUUGAAUGGAAAAAUGUGCAAAGCGAAGACGGCUCCUCCCUAUAGUAGGAAAUACGGAAACACAUGAUCAGACAUCUGUGAAGUGACUGAAAUGUGUUUUCCUCCACUCUGUCUUAUAUAAACGUCCCCCUCUGAAACCAUUUUAUAAAUAAGAAUAAAAUUGCUCUUAGAUUCUUCUAGAAUAUUUGAACCUGACUUUUUUUGAAAUAAGUCCCAUGAAAGGAAAUGGGAAAACAGCAUUCCAAUAGCAAUAUAUGAGCCCUAAGAGGACAAUUCAAAUAUAAGAAAUAUUAUGUGGGAGAAUUAAAUAUCCUUUUUUAAAAAAUUAAAAACUGCUUGAAUUCAGAAAUGGAUACUAAAAGAAACAAGGCAGAUAAAAUGUUAGGAUUUAUAUUGAAAAAAUAAAGCCAAAAACUGAAAUCAAGAUUAUUUUACUGUCUAAUAUUUUGUCAUGGAUGAUAUUCCUUCUAAUACAAAAAGUUUAAAACAAAUUAUUUUCUGGGCUUGUAAUAAAUUCUUCUGUGGUGUGUUUAAUAUUUAUUAUAGACUACCUUGAAUAAAUGAAUCUCACCAAAAUCUCAAGUCAGGAUAAAAAUGAGCUGCUUUACAAAGAUUACCCCCGGGGAAGUGUAAGAGGCAACUUACUUUAUAAAUACUGUGAAGACUUGAGGUUUGGAUGGUGGUUUUCUUUUUUGUAUUCACUGAGUAACACAACUUUUUACAAAUAUUUUUGGAAAUUCCCACGCAGCUGCUGGGGAAAAUAUUCCCCUACUAUCGAAGUAAGAAUAUACAGAAAUGGCAUGCUCCUUUAUUAAACUAGGCUUCACACACUCUUUUCCACAUUUCCCUACUCAUCACUAACUCACAACAAUUUUUUAGUUAAAAGUCUUAUCUUUACCAUAUGAAAGGUUUAUCAGACAAGGAGGCAACCAUAAAGAUCAGCUCGGUCAACAUAGAGGCUGGAAGAAUUCGGGGUGAGAGUUGAUAAUGUUCUCAAUAAAAUUAUAGGUUACAUUAAAAUCUUGUUAUGUAGUAUCGAAUCAUGUGAAAAACACACGAUUCAGUUUGAAAAACAUAAUAAUUUUAGCACCAGCCUCCCAGUUUGGAAUUUGUCUAUUAAUACUUCUAAUCGCUUUUUCUCUUUUCUUCUUGGAUAACAAGAGUUAAAACUGAGAUUUCUCUUCAAUUUCGGCUUGAGCUGAACCAGGAAGUGAGGGAUGAAAGAGGAGUCUAUGCUGUUUACUACCUUUUUCUAACAAAGCCUUUGAAAAUAUCUUUCCUAUUUGGCUCCCUGGUUAAAUACUUACUCGGGGCCAAAGCACACACCUGCUGACUUAUUUCUCUAAUUCACAUUAUAGCAUUCUCAACAAUUCUGCAGCCUUCCUGCUUGCCCUUAAAGUCCUGCUCCAGGUUAUUUGCUCUGACUCUGUUUUCUCAGCAUGCUUAAUAGGACACGCACAGAUGCUAUCAACGGCCUUAUUUAAUCCUUUGCUGGUGCUAUGCAAUUCGGAAAAAAAAAAAGUAUUGUACACAACUUGAAACCAAAUUAAAUUUGCCCUUCAGUUUGUAAAAGCCCUGAAGAUUCUGAGAUGGAAAGUUCGAGCAAAAGUGAGAGUCUCUAACUUUUAUGUCAUAUCUUAUGAACUAUUGGAGGAAGGUAAGUUAUUAAGCUCUCCCUGUUUGGUCUGCACAGAAUAAGUAGGAGAAAAUUCUAUCUCCCUACCUACAUUUUAUUCAUUCCUUUGUCUCUCUGACCUCUCUAAGCACCUCUGGAGAAGAGAAAUUAGCAGGAAAUGUUGGCAGUCUGAUCACUUGUGUGUGCACCUGAGGUUAUUACGAGUAUUCUGAAUGUGAACUGCUGUUGUAAGCACUGCACACACCUUAUAGAAGAGGCCAGGGAGGUGUAGAAAGACCUUGCUUUUUUAAAAUUUUUUUUGAGAUGGAGUCUCACUCUGUCGCCCAGGCUGGAGUGCAGUGGUGCGAUCUCGGCUCACUGAAAGCUCUGCCUCCCGGGUUGACGCCAUUCUCCUGCCUCAGCCUCCCGAGUAGCUGAAACUACAGGCGCUUGCCACAACGCCUGGCUAAUUUUUUUUUUUUUUUUUUUUUUUUUUUUUUUUUUUUUUUUUUUUUUUUUAGUAGAGACAGAGUUUCACCGUGUUAGCCAGGAUGGUCUUGAUCUCCUGACCUCGUGAUCAGCCCACCUCUCAAAGUGCUGAGAUUACAGGCGUGAGCCACCGCGCCCAGCCUCCUUUUGCCAGAAAUACAGGUUUCUUGCACCUUCUUCUCUGACAGAAAAAAGAAAAAAAAAUAGGUCUCUCUAGCUGAUUCCAAUUGCAGAAAAGUAGGAAAAACAAUACCCGUGAGUACCUAUAUAUCUAUGACCUAGAUUUACCACCAAAUGGUAAAUCUAUAUAUGUGCCCACAUUUCUGAAUUAUUUGUACAAGUUACAAACAUAAACUUCACCCCAAAACACUUCUCCCAUGCAUCAUCAAAGAACAUUCUUCUAUAUAACCAUAUUCCCCCCUAACUGUACAUAGACAUAAUAAUAUUAUUUAACAUACAUAUUCCACAUUCAGAUUUCCCCAACUUGUCUCACAUUUUCUCUGAUUUGGGAUCCAUUCAAGAAUUAUGGAUUGCAUUUAAUUGACAUAUCUUCUUCUCUUAUCUUUCAUGACACUGAACAUUUUCAGGAAUCUUGGCAAACUGUCAG
rnacentral:lncRNA from 1 species